CUUCUCAGUCCUGCCAACAGCUGUGAGUGAGCAUGGACGCAGAUCCUCUCCCAGUGGAGCAUUUGGAUGACCACGGCUCUGGCUAACACCUCACUUACAGCCUUGGGAGAGAUUCUGAGUCAGAGGCAUCCAGCUAAAUUGACCCACAGACACGGCCUAUAAAAGCCCCAGGCUCAGCCAGAGCAGAGCAGAUGAUGGAUGACCAGCUGCAGAGAAGAGCUACCCUUUCUGCUGACAGCAGAAGAUGUCCCAACAACCAGCAGAAGAGAGAAGCUAUCCAUUCUAGGGCCUCUUCUCUGCUGAGAGCUUCAGAAACCUGCAGAGACAUCGAGACUACCAGCUGCAGAGUGGAACAAUCCACUCCAGGGCCACCUCUCUGCUGAGAGCUAAGAAGACAAUGAGAUGACCUGCCUGCUAGGAGGAGCUUCCCUCUCCAGGGUCUCCUUUCUGCUAGGAGCUGAACUCUCAUUGGAACAUCCUGGCUGUGGAAAGGAGCUACCCUCUGCAGGUCUCCUGUGUGCUGUUCUAUUGAUCAAUAAAGCUCCCCUUCAUCUCGCUCAUCCUCCACUUGGCUCUGUACCUCAUGCUUCCUAGUUGCAGGACAAGAACUCGGGACCUACCAAAUGGCAGAGCUAAAAGAGCUAUAACACAGGACUGAAACAUGCCCCCUGCUUGCCACAUUGAGGGCAAAGAGAAGGAGAUAAGAUCUGUGCCUUCUCAGGCAGCCCAGACCUGGGAGCUCCCUGAGCCAGGGCUGUGACUCCCUCUUUGGGGUCCUGUGGUGCCUAGUAUCUCCAAGCUUCCAGGUGCCACUGCAUUUCCCGGUGCCAGCUGGGGAAGCUUCCUGCAGUGCACCUGGUCUGGCCACAGCCUCACAGAGAGUCAGUGCCUGUGCCAGCACCUGUAACUGCCCGCCCCAUUGCAGCAGCCGGCAUGUCCGAUUGCACACUGGCUGAACCCCAUGCUCCCUCACACACCCCUUGCCACUCCAUGCCUGACUUACCCUUGGCAGGUAUGGGAUCCAGGCCAGUAGUGUCAGCCAAGUAAAGCCUGCCAGGCCAGGUAGGCAGAACAAACCCAGCGGGCCUAAGCAAGACUUGGGCAAAGACAUCACCAGCCAGAAAAACAAUAUCCCAAGAAUCUUGUGACACUAGGCAUAGUGAAGUUCUUUAUUAAUUUGUAGAUUUUUAACCUGGAAAAUUCUAAUAUUUUCAACUAUUAAAAAAGAUAAUCCCCAAAAUAAUGCUUUAUUGUCAUGUAAAAUAUUAAAUAGAUUGUAUGUAACUUAGCUAUAUUAUUCUAAGAUAAAAUUCAUUAACUUGUCUUUAAGAAACUAGUUCCUAAAAUGCACUUUGAACUGUAUUUAUAAUCUCACUAGUCCUCUACUUAAUUAGGAAGUGGAAUAAAAUAUUUGAUAUAUUUUCUUUUUAUAUUUACAAAAGUCACCAUUUAAAUUCUUUGAAUUUUAACAUGUUAUACUUUUGGAGGAUCCACUGAGACACUAAAGUGGGUUCAUAAAGCCAACCAAACUGUGAUAGCACAGAAAUGUACUUCAGGAGCUGUUUAGGAGGAGAGACUUUUCUUUCUCCUCAAAGUGAUUCUCAAAUAGCAAUAGAGUCCUGGUGCAGUGGCUCAUGCCUACAAUCGAGCACUUUGGGAGGCCAAGGUGGGAGAAUUGUUUGAGCCCAGGAGUUCAAGAUCAGCAUAGGCAACAUAGCGAGACCUCAUCUCUACAAAAAAUACAGAAAUUAGCCAGGUGUGCCGGCAUGUGCUGUGUUUUUUGUCCAGCUACUUGGGAGGCUGAAGUGGAGGGAUUUCUUGAAACUGGGAGGUCAAGACUGAAGUAAGCCAUGAUCCUGCCACUAUACUCCUACAUGGGGGAAAGAGCAAGACUC
ensembl:lncRNA PPP1R9A-AS1 PPP1R9A antisense RNA 1